rnacentral:misc_RNA from 1 species
GAUUGGAACAAAUUAUUUCCCAGUUUCUGUUGAAGAGCUUGCAUAUUAUUUUGGACUCUAGAAUUCCUUCUCUUCAUCCGCAUGAUCGUAGUGGUGAUUUUCAAUCCAGUUCUCGGGUGAGAAAGAGUGACAAAUGGUUCAAUUUAGUUCUAGGAGAUCGUCCAGCAGCCUUAGAUAACUUGAAUUUUUGGCAAAGAAAUGUAAUGGACCCCAUGAUAAUUGACAUAAUACUUGUUCGCCGGGGGACUACCUCUUCAUCAGUGGACGAUCUAUACUCUUCUAUGGCUGAUAGGACACCUAUUGAGACAGUUAUGGAAAGGUGGAUAGUUCAGUAUAACACCCAACGGGUUAUGGCUCCCCAAACUGGGGAAAGUUCUGCCUCUUGCAAGAAGACAUAUAAGAAGUCAACCAUACUUCUCCGUUCCCUUUAUUCGCAAUUGAGGCUUCUACCGGCUCAUCGGAUCUUUCGGCAGCUAAGCUCUUCUAGUCAAACUUAUAAUUUUGAUAUAAUUUACAAGGUUUCUUCAUUUUGUGAACCUUUCUCUUGGUCAGAGGAGGAAAUGAUGAAAGAAUAUAGUUUUAUGCCUGUAGAGGCCCUUCCUGGCCACGCCACCUUUCUUUAUCUGUGACUUUCCGUCCAUCACUAUCUGAUUUUAACCUUGAGCCUUUGGCAACAUUCCCACCCAAGAUUAUAACAGAUUAUGUUGGUAGCCCUACCACUGACCCUCUGAGGUCUUUUCCUUCUUCAGAUAGGGGAGAUCGUGCUACAUCCUUUCCACUGAAGGGAAUACGGCCGCUUAUUUCUACUCCUUUUCAACGCCCACAUAGCUGGACAAGUGGCUUUCACAGAGCUGCCCCUUUUAUGGCAAACCAAUCCCUUGGUGGAUCUCCUCCUGCAUACCGAACAUCUCCCAUGCCAUAUAAUUUUCCACAUACUCCAUCAGGUACUUAUGGUCACAGAAUACAAAGCUGUAGACCACCAACUCACCAAAGGGCUACUGGUAAUGAUGAGUAUGAGCUUUCACCUCCAUUCUCACCAUCUAUGUCUCCUUCCACUCCGACAUACUUCUCCAGUGGUAGUCCUUUGCAAACUCGUAUUACUUCAGAAACUGCCCCUGUAACUAUCCCCUUUCCAAAGUCAGGUAGAAGUUCUAGAUACCUUUCUCCAAACUUUUCUGACCCAAGUAAAAAUUCACUUCCACCUUUAUCUCCUAAAAGCACGAGACAUGAUCCUUCAUCACAGGAGUCUCCAUCUGGAAUCCGUUCAAUUAGGAAACCAGAAGCUUUGAGGGCUGGAGAGUUAAACUCUGGCAUAGCGAGUCAUUAUUCUGGUCACAAGAUUCUCAAAGAUGGCAAAGAUGAUUCUGGACGCUUCUCUGGACUGUUAUCUUCUAGUGGCUCACCACAUAUUGGAUUUUCAAGAAGUUCUAGUAGAUUAUCUUUCCAAGAUGACCUAGAUGAUGGUGACUUCUCAUGUCCUUUUGAUGUUGAUGAUGUUGAUACUUCAGAUUCACCUAACAGUCAGAAACUUGAUGGGAAAAAGAAUUUAGAGUCUACUCCACAUUCGUUACUAAUGGGCAAACAAUCUCAAGAUGCUGCUGUUGGUGUUCUUGUGCACAUGCUGAGAACUGCACUUCCUCUACGACAAGAUCCAAGUUGUUACUCGUCUCAUUCUUUGAGGACUGACCUAGAUGAAGGGGUUGCUACUGCCUCUGGGUUCUUUAUGCCUCGGAAAACAGCAGAUGCAUUGGAAGAGCUUAGGAGUU